AUGAGAUUUGUGCAUUUGCUUAGAGCUGUUGGCAGCUCCCCUGACAUAUUGUUGUGUUCCAAAUGCAGCUCCUCCAAUCUCUUCAAAUCACCUAUAGACUCUGGAAUGUUGCCACUGAAACCAUUCCCCCCAAGAUCAAGGGUGACCAGAUUUGUGAGCUUGCCGAUGCCAUUGACAGGUCCGUCUAACCAAUUGUUAGGCAAAGAGAGGUGCUCUAACAAGGUGACAUUGAAGAGCUCGCCUAGAAGAGUCCCACAGAGGUUGUUGUAG
rnacentral:rRNA from 1 species